CCUACGGGUGGCAGCAGUGAGGAAUAUUGGUCAAUGGGCGCGAGCCUGAACCAGCCAAGUCGCGUGAGGGAAGACGGUCCUAUGGAUUGUAAACCUCUUUUGUCGGGGAGCAAAAGACGCCACGCGUGGCGUUCCGCGAGUACCCGAAGAACAAGCAUCGGCUAACUCCGUGCCAGCAGCCGCGGUAAUACGGAGGAUGCGAGCGUUAUCCGGAUUGAUGGGGUGUAAAGGGUGCGCAGGCGGAAGAUCAAGUCAGCGGUAAAAUUGAGAGGCUCAACCUCUUCGAGCCGUUGAAACUGGUUUUCUUGAGUGAGUGAGAAGUAUGCGGAAUGCGUGGUGUAGCGGUGAAAUGCAUAGAUAUCACGCAGAACUCCGAUUGCGAAGGCAGCAUACCGGCGCUCAACUGACGCUCAUGCACGAAAGUGUGGGUAUCGAACAGGAUUAGAUACCCUGGUAGUC
rnacentral:rRNA from 1 species